rnacentral:rRNA from 1 species
UACAGAGGUCUCAAGCGUUGUUCGGAUUCAUUGGGCGUAAAGGGUUCGUAGGCGGCGCGGUAAGUCGGAUGUGAAAUCUCGGAGCUUAACUCCGAAACUGCAUUCGAUACUGCCGUGCUUGAGGACUGGAGAGGAGACUGGAAUUUACGGUGUAGCGGUGAAAUGCGUAGAUAUCGUAAGGAAGACCAGUGGCGAAGGCGGGUCUCUGGACAGUUCCUGACGCUGAGGCACGAAGGCCAGGGGAGCAAACGGG